rnacentral:lncRNA from 1 species
AACUUCAAUUGUCAACUUUCCUUAAUUAGUCUAUAUAUAGGCUUUUUGACAAUUAUGACAGUAUGUGUUUCAUGCGCCUGAAACACAAAUAUAUUUCACUGUCCAAUGAAAGCCAUUCUAUUCACACUUUAAAUAGUUUUGUAGACCCAGUACGCUAUGAAUCAACUUUCAUAUUCACGUCUUUUUUGUAUAUUAUUCCAAAAAUUUUAUGGGCCAAAUAAAUAUUUUUAUGCCCUAUACAAAAGAAGACAUAUAACCAACACUAAAAGAUACUAAAGUGAAUAUUCGAUAAACCUAGAUGGGUAUCUGAAGUUUUUUGUAUAUAAUUUAACAAAAUGUUAACGGAGGAGGUGAGAAAAAGAGAAAAAUGAAACCACAUAAUACUAAAUUGAUACAUUUUAAACCACAAGAUACUGAAGUUAGAAAAUGCAAAACUACAUGGGUUGUAUUUAAAGUUUACCCAGCGUGCUAUCGAUUCAUUCAAUAAGAAAAUAAAUUAGUUUAUAUAAGUAAGGCAAUAAGGCCUCAGAAAAAGAAAAAAGAAAAAAAAAAAAAAAAACCGGCAAACAAAAAAUCAAAAUCAAAACCAAAAAUAAAAAAAAUAAACUACAAAUUACGAAUAAUGAUACAUUAACUACCCUCAG